GACGAACGCUGGCGGCGUGCCUAAUACAUGCAAGUUGAGCGCUGAAGGUUGGUACUUGUACCAACUGGAUGAGCAGCGAACGGGUGAGUAACGCGUGGGGAAUCUGCCUUUGAGCGGGGACCACAUUUGGAAACGAAUGCUAAUACCGCAUAAAAACUUUAAACACCAGUUUUAAGUUUGAAAGAUGCCAUUGCAUCACUCAAAGAUGAUCCCGCGUUGUAUUAGCUAGUUGGUGAGGUAAAGGCUCACCAAGGCGAUGAUACAUAGCCGACCUGAGAGGGUGAUCGGCCACAUUGGGACUGAGACACGGCCCAAACUCCUACGGGAGGCAGCAGUAGGGAAUCUUCGGCAAUGGACGAAAGUCUGACCGAGCAACGCCGCGUGAGUGAAGAAGGUUUUCGGAUCGUAAAACUCUGUUGGUAGAGAAGAACGUUGGUGAGAGUGGAAAGCUCAUCAAGUGACGGUAACUACCCAGAAAGGGACGGCUAACUACGUG
rnacentral:rRNA from 1 species